CGGGGUGUAGCGCAGUUGGUAGCGCGCUUGGUUCGGGACCAAGAGGCCGUGGGUUCGAAUCCCGUCACUCCGA
rfam:Subdoligranulum sp. 60_17 Ley3_66761_scaffold_1016, whole genome shotgun sequence.